GGGUGAGUAACACGUGGAUAACCUACCUAUAAGACUGGGAUAACUUCGGGAAACCGGAGCUAAUACCGGAUAAUAUUUUGAACCGCAUGGUUCAAAAGUGAAAGACGGUCUUGCUGUCACUUAUAGAUGGAUCCGCGCUGCAUUAGCAGGUUGGUAAGGUAACGGCUUACCAAGGCAACGAUGCAUAGCCGACCUGAGAGGGUGAUCGGCCACACUGUAACUGAGACACGGUCCAG
rnacentral:rRNA from 1 species